rnacentral:rRNA from 1 species
GUGGCAUACGAAGCUUACCAUGCAAGUCGAGCGGUAGCACAGGGGAGCUUGCUCCCUGGGUGACGAGCGGCGGACGGGUGAGUAAUGUCUGGGAAACUGCCUGAUGGAGGGGGAUAACUACUGGAAACGGUAGCUAAUACCGCAUAACGUCGCAAGACCAAAGAGGGGGACCUUCGGGCCUCUUGCCAUCAGAUGUGCCCAGAUGGGAUUAGCUAGUAGGUGGGGUAAUGGCUCACCUAGGCGACGAUCCCUAGCUGGUCUGAGAGGAUGACCAGCCACACUGGAACUGAGACACGGUCCAGACUCCUACGGGAGGCAGCAGUGGGGAAUAUUGCACAAUGGGCGCAAGCCUGAUGCAGCCAUGCCGCGUGUGUGAAGAAGGCCUUCGGGUUGUAAAGCACUUUCAGCGAGGAGGAAGGUGGUGAGCUUAAUACGCUCAUCAAUUGACGUUACUCGCAGAAGAAGCACCGGCUAACUCCGUGCCAGCAGCCGCGGUAAUACGGAGGGUGCAAGCGUUAAUCGGAAUUACUGGGCGUAAAGCGCACGCAGGCGGUUUGUUAAGUCAGAUGUGAAAUCCCCGGGCUCAACCUGGGAACUGCAUUUGAAACUGGCAAGCUAGAGUCUCGUAGAGGGGGGUAGAAUUCCAGGUGUAGCGGUGAAAUGCGUAGAGAUCUGGAGGAAUACCGGUGGCGAAGGCGGCCCCCUGGACGAAGACUGACGCUCAGGUGCGAAAGCGUGGGGGAGCAAACAGGAUUAGAUACCCUGGUAGUCCACGCUGUAAACGAUGUCGAUUUGGAGGUUGUGCCCUUGAGGCGUGGCUUCCGGAGCUAACGCGUUAAAUCGACCGCCUGGGGAGUACGGCCGCAAGGUUAAAACUCAAAUGAAUUGACGGGGGCCCGCACAAGCGGUGGAGCAUGUGGUUUAAUUCGAUGCAACGCGAAGAACCUUACCUACUCUUGACAUCCAGAGAACUUAGCAGAGAUGCUUUGGUGCCUUCGGGAACUCUGAGACAGGUGCUGCAUGGCUGUCGUCAGCUCGUGUUGUGAAAUGUUGGGUUAAGUCCCGCAACGAGCGCAACCCUUAUCCUUUGUUGCCAGCGGUUCGGCCGGGAACUCAAAGGAGACUGCCAGUGAUAAACUGGAGGAAGGUGGGGAUGACGUCAAGUCAUCAUGGCCCUUACGAGUAGGGCUACACACGUGCUACAAUGGCGUAUACAAAGAGAAGCGACCUCGCGAGAGCAAGCGGACCUCAUAAAGUACGUCGUAGUCCGGAUUGGAGUCUGCAACUCGACUCCAUGAAGUCGGAAUCGCUAGUAAUCGUAGAUCAGAAUGCUACGGUGAAUACGUUCCCGGGCCUUGUACACACCGCCCGUCACACCAUGGGAGUGGGUUGCAAAAGAAGUAGGUAGCUUAACCUUCGGGAGGGCGCUACCACUUGGAUCAGUCGGC